rnacentral:rRNA from 1 species
UACGUAGGGGCCAAGCGUUGUCCGGAUUUAUUGGGCGUAAAGAGCUCGUAGGCGGUUGGGUAAGUCGGGUGUGAAAACUCCAGGCUCAACUUGGAGAUGCCACCCGAUACUGCUCUGACUUGAGUUCGGUAGGGGAGUGGGGAAUUCCUGGUGUAGCGGUGAAAUGCGCAGAUAUCAGGAGGAACACCGGUGGCGAAGGCGGGUCUCUGGGCCGAUACUGACGCUGAGGAGCGAAAGCGUGGGGAGCAAACAGG